CCAGCUAGAUUUCUAGCAAUGUCCCACAAUUUUAACAGAUCAAAUUAAAAUAUAAAAAAUUAAGUACACUGAUGCGGAGAGUCUAGAAUUCCAAGUAAUUUAAAAGUACAAAAGUAAGAUUUAAUUACAAUAAACCCAAAGGGAGAAGGGAAGUCGGGCUGCAAAAAAAGUCGGCGGAGAACCUAGUUGUCACCUGAAAAAUUUAAAAUUGAAACUGUCAGUCUCGAGAAUGAGUUAAAAACAUAUAUCUGCAGUAAAACAACUAUAAAUAUCCAUGUGGAAUGGUUGAUAAAAUAAUAUGGUACAUCACAAACUAAUAAGUAAGUGUCAUAGCAUAAUUUUAAAUAAUUGAUCUUUUUUACUCAUAAGGGACGAGCAUUUAGCAAAACUCUAACUCCAAUACUAGUAGCCUUUUGGCUCUCUUAUUCCAAUACGACCGAGGCUCAGAGAGUGAAGCUUAACCAGGGUCCUUAAAUCUAGCCUGGUCACUUGAUUCCCAAUAAAGACGGUUCCCAAAGAGUAAUGCUCGACCGGGGACCUUUCUUCCAGCAAUCAAAUUCUCAUAUCCUAGAGAAUUGUACUCGACCAAGGCAAAUCUCAAAAAUAUUCUUUUAUUACAUGUCUCUAAUUAAUACUGAUCCGCAUGCGGUCCUGAUACUACCUAUCAGGUGGCAUGUUCUACUACCGCCUCAUCCCGAGUCAAUAUAAAAUCAUAAUAUCGAUAUUGCCAAAAAUAAUUUAUGAAUAACAAACAACUUAACUAUUAAUCAAUAACGUAUUAAGUAACAUUGAACAUCACGUAAUUGUUAUUGUAAAUUUAUUUGUUUAGAUAAAUAGUAAAUAAAUAAUUAAUUUCAUAAAAUGAUUAUUUAGAUCAAUAAUAAAUAACUAAUCUAAAAUUUAUAAAACAAUAUAUUGGAUAAAUAAUAAAUAAAUAGUUUAAAUCUAUAAAUUAAUUAAUUAAAUAUAAAAUAAGAAUUUUCAGUAAUAUUCACCAUGACAAAUAAAUAAAUAUAUAUAUAUAUAUAUACACGAUAGUAAUACAAAUAAUUAAUCAAAAUUGCUAUAUAAAAAUUCGGCAGAGCACAUGUAUAUAGGAUAUGACUUUAACUCACAUUUCUACUGCGCUCCGGAAUCUACUCCUAUGUUUCGGGUGGAGCUGGUUGGAUGGAUUAUCUAUUCAUAAAAAUAACUCAAUUAAUAAGAUAUUUUUAAUUAUUUCUGGACGUAGACUCCUAAAUUAGACUGCCUAAGAAAUUUCGACUCGAAAAUUCUAUCAAAAACUUGAUAGAACCUCUCCUAAUUAUGGACGUUUACUCCCAUAUAACGGAUUCAGAACUUGCUAGAAACACUUCAAAUAUUUCACAUUUAUUUAACGGGAUUCGGGCCACCAAAACUGUAUUACUUUCCCUACUCCACAACACAACCCAAAUCACAAUCCAAAUAAAAUAAUAGUGCGGCAAAAAUAAUAAUAUUGUUUCCAAUAUAAUCACAUAAUAUUUCACACAUUUAAUUCAAUUAAUCAUAGCUUAAAUACAUAAUAUAAUAUUAACUCCUUCUGAAUUUAAUCUACAGUAAUUCUAAAAUCAAGCUACUAAUUAAUUAAAUAGUUUAAUUAAUUAAUUAUAACUAACAAAUAAAUACACCAAACAUUUUCUAAUAACUUUAAAAUAAUUUUUAAAGUCUAAAUAAAAUUACACUGAGUCAAAAUCCGAACUUCUAUGCGUUCGAAAAACACCGGGUCUGAAAGCCAGUACCGCGAAUGGUGUUGAAUUUCGAAUCCGGAAGCGUCUACGCGAAGCUUGAGUCGCGAGGAGUCCAAAUAUGCAAACAUCUUCGCUCGAAACUCGCCGGAAGUCACGCACUACUGCCGAUGGAGGAAAAUCGACAAGCGAGAGCUGCCUUGAGGUUUUCGGGGUCUAUGAGUUCGUUUCUGGCAUCAGAUCAGCGAAAGGACGCAUGGCAAGAGGCUGCUUCAGCANNN
rnacentral:lncRNA from 1 species